GUGUACUCUUUGGUUGGUGGUUUAGUCCCUGGGAGCUCUGGGGGUACUGAUUAGUUCAUAUUGUUGUUCCUCCUAUGGGGCUACAAACCCCUUCAGCUCCUUGGGUCCUUUCUUUUACUUCUUCAUUGGGACCCAUUUGGCACCAUUUUUUGAAGUGACCAACCAAGCAAUGUAGUGGAAAGUUGACCACAUUGGAUCACUUCUAUUGUGAAACAUUGUCCUUAAGAAUAGAUAGUUGUGUGGGUUUGCUGUUCCUUCACAUAAUACUUAUGCAAAAACUAUUGUGCUUGGCCUACAGAAUUCUUUAUUCACCAUUAUGGUAUUGCUACUGACCAAGAAACCCUCUUUGUAGCCAAAGAAGGGCAGCAGUGUGUUCAUACUCAUUGACUGAAACUGCUAUUGGGUUCUCAGUAUCUCUGAGUGAGCAGCUUUGUUCUACCACAUACUUCUGUAAUGAUUCAGUGCCUUACUACAGGCUGAAAAAACGAAGCCAAUGAGCUAUGGAUUGAAACUCUAAACCAAACUUGUGUCAAGUUGACACACAAAACCAGCCAGUACAGUCUGCUAGCAAAAUACCAACACAUAUUAGCAGCUGCAGUCCAGUUUACUUGGCAAUCACCAUCCACAAAUCAGCAAUAGCAGUUCGAUCCAGAAGAAACUGUGAGGCUCUGCUAAUCAGCCCAUCUCUGAGGAAGUUGCAAGCAUCUGGUGGAAUAGCACAAGAACUUCUUUGUCUAGUCACUCUUUAUGAAGUCAUGAAGUUCAUGAAGAUCAGCAAUGCAAUGCAAGG
rnacentral:lncRNA from 1 species